ensembl:snoRNA
AUCUUUUCCUCUCUCAAAAGCGUGAUGACUGGGUUUUCACAUGUAUGAGUGAGAUGUGCCUCCCUCAGACCUUGUUAUGAUGUUGGCACAUUACCUGUCUAAUG